AUGCCGCGCCACCGCAGCCUCUGCGCCACCACGCAGGUCCGCCGCGGCUCCGUGCCACGCGCCUCCACGGUUGUCGCACCGAGCCGCCGCGACCUCUGCGCCACUACGCAGGUCCUCUGUGACCUCCUCGUCUCCGCGACCACCGUGCUCUUCGCGCACGACAUCACACCGCACAGCCGCGGACUCGCCGCGCGUCGCCGUCGCCACGGCCGCCCCUCGAACCUUGUGGCUCUGAUACCAAUUGCUGUUGCCGUGGCCUUCCUCUUGCACUCUUUCUCUGAACCUCCCUCACGCUCUCUCUCUCACUGA
rnacentral:rRNA from 1 species